AUUGAACGCUGGCGGCAGGCCUAACACAUGCAAGUCGAACGAGUGGCGGACGGGUGAGUAAUGUCUGGGAAACUGCCUGAUGGAGGGGGAUAACUACUGGAAACGGUAGCUAAUACCGCAUACCAUCGGAUGUGCCCAGAUGGGAUUAGCUAGUAGGUGGGGUAACGGCUCACCUAGGCGACGAUCCCUAGCUGGUCUGAGAGGAUGACCAGCCACCAUGGAACUGAGACACGGUCCAGACGCGUACGUGAGGCAGCAGUGGGGAAUAUUGCACAAUGGGCGCAAGUCUGAUGCAGCCAUGCCGCGUGUAUGAAGAAGGCCUUCGGGUUGUAAAGUACUUUCACCAUCGACGCGGUAGAUGGAGAAGAAGCACCGGCUAACUCCGUGCCAGCAGCCGCGGUAAUUC
rnacentral:rRNA from 1 species